rnacentral:rRNA from 1 species
CAGGCUAAACCUAGCGUGUGUGAUAGCCGGCAGGCGUUGCACGUUGGGGGUUGUGGGACUUUUCAGUCAUCUCUGCCGAGGUGGCGGCGUUACAAGAAGGUAUAGACGAACGGUCUUGAAAGGCCGGUCAUAGAGGGUGCCAACCCCGUAGUCGAAAUGCUUCUCUUGGCGCGAAGAGUAUCCCAAGUAGCACGGGGCCCGUGAAAUCCCGUGUGAAUCUGUCAGGACCACCUGAUAAGCCUAAAUACUCCCAGAUGACCGAUAGCGGACAAGUACCGUGAGGGAAAGGUG